UUUUGAAGCACGUGCUCUGCGUUUUUCCUGAGAGUUUUUUUUUUUUGGUCAUUGGCAGAUAUGGUCUUUUCUCCUGGAUGGCUAUACUCUUGUUGCAUCUCUGGUGGAGGUAGCAGCAUGCCCUGUAGCUACCUAUUCCUCUUCCCUUGUAUUGUUGGUGAUAUCUUAGCCUUUUUCUGGCUCUGUUGUCAUCUCUGCAUCACCAUGGGAGUGCAUUCUUUUCCUUAUCCUUUGUUUGAUCUGUAUUCCUUUGUUUGUUUCAGUUGUUGUUGAAUUGUUAUUUUGUUGUUGUUGUUUUUUACUUAUGCUGUUUUUUUCAUUUCUCUUAAUCUCUGAAUUUUAUCUCGUUAUCACUUAGCCUAAUUUAUAGCCUGCAGUUCUUUUCCCCGUGUCACGUUCAGGUUUGGAACCAGUCAGCCUGGGGUUACACCUCCCCAUGUUGCAUCUUUGUUGUUGCUAGGGAAAAGGAGUGGUUCCUUUUCUACAAGAUACUCUGAAAACAUCUGUACUAAAUGCACGGGGUUUGAUUUUGGUUGGGGAAAACAAACUGCUUCCCGUCUUACUCCCCCGUCACUUCCUUGGAGCCUUUCCUACUGCUCGCAUUUGCAGUUCGUCUUGUAGACAUGUAGUUAGAUAAGAGCAUCUCUGCUUUCCUCGUCCCUUUCCAGCUUGCCCUGAUUCUUCUGCUGCUGUCCUGCCUCUUCUGCUUCUUUCUCUGGUUCUCCUUGUUAAAUAAAUUGCAGCCCAACCUUCAAAAAGGAAAGAAGAAUUUAACUGCAGUGACCCAUGUCCUUAUCCCACUGUGGUCUGUGCUGAAAUGGCUAUUGACUGAAUUGGGAACAAGGCUGCCUUCCCCCUGCUUUCACAUAGCCUCUCUAUGGCAUACAAUAAGUGGGGUUUCACAGGUUGCGUGAGGAGCAGCCAGGUCCAAACCUUCCCUCCUUGUCAAUGCAGUGGCUGGGGAGGUUUCAAAGCUCCUUGGAGCCAGGGAGCUCUUUGGUGGAGCUGACGGAGGAAGGUCCCACCUCCAUCAGGGGAAAUAAGAAGGAACUCUGCCAUGCAAAAUAAGGAAUAACAUACCAAGUGGGGAUUGUACAGUGAAGCAGGAAACUGAUGCUCUGUUGGAAUAUGGAAUAAAGGGGGACUAAAAGAGGGAAACUUAAAGCUAGUUUAUAGAAACAAGUAAAGGAUAGUUAAAUUUUACAAGUAAAAGAAACAAGGGGCAUAGGAGAGCAAAGAGGAUGCAGCUAAGGAGUGAGACCUCACGGACGACAUCAGGCAAGGAGGAGAAUAACUACUUGUAAACUACCAGAAGAGGAGUUUCAUCCCCCUGAUAAGAACAAGAGGGGGUCUUCAUGCUAAAGACCUACUGAAUAUGUAUCAGAAUUCCGAGAACUACUGACUAUGUAUUAGAAUUCUGAGAAAUCAUUGACUAUGUAUUAGAUGUACCUAUAUCUGUGUCACGAUUUUACAAGUUGGUGUGCAAGUUUGGUGGAGCUAUCCCCCUUGCACCCGGCACUGGAAUAAACAUACCUGCUUUAUAACCCA